ACCCAAAGUGGAAUUGUCUGGUGCGCAGCUGUAAUUCAGGCGAGCCUGAAAUUCAGGAGCGAGAUCUGAGCAGGCAAUCUACUGGUGGGGUGGCAGAGAGAACCCAGGGCAUGGGUACUGAGAACAGAGCAGGUACCGUGCUGGGCCCCGGAACAAAGGGUAAUCCUAGAUGGGAAGGGACACCCACCUCUGUUUGGAGCUGGCCAGAGACAAUACCCUGCUUUGGUGAGAUGCCAUUGUCAAUGGAACCAAGGAUGACCAGGGAGGAUUGAUUCACUCUCCUGCUCACCCAGCAACUCAUUUGCCCUCACAGGCACCUCAAAGAAAACGGAGGCGGGGGACCCAGGGAAAGCGCCGGCAGAGCUGAUGAAACUGUAGCAUUGCCACUUCCUUGCUGGGAGAACUAGGACAAGGUAUUCAAGUUCUCCGAGUCUCAGCUUCUUCCUGUGGAAAAUCAAGCUAAUGAGGCCUGAUAUAAGGACCCUUGUGAGAAGAAACCAGACAAGAGAAGUCAAGGGCCCAAGGCAGUGUGCCUGGGGCAGAGCGGGGGUUAUUGCUGAGGGCAGGAUUCCUGCGGGUCCUCCCACUACCCAGCAUGCUCUUUUGUCCCUUACAGGUAAACAUCCACUGGCUGGGGGCGAACAGACCCUGGGCAUCCAAAGCCUAGGGUGGUGGCAAAGAAGCCAUUUUCUUUCCCCUGCUGCCUCGUUGAGUUAGAUAUAGACACUUCCUGUGGUUUUGUUUGUUUGUUUGUUUUACUGAUAUACAGUGCCCUUCCUGUACAUGCAGCCGAGUGUUGUAACCAGACAGGAUCAUUUGUGUUCGUUGCCUCAGGAGGCUACGCUAGCUCAGAGAGGAAGCAGGACCUCAGCAGAAAGGGGGCAAGGCCUGGGCAUUUGAUGGGUGUUACUAAAUGCCAGGCCUCUCAGCUAUGCUAACUUCCCAACAUAGCAUGAUAACGUGGCAUGGCAGAAGCACUGUCACCCAUAAAACAGACGAGAAUACCGAGGUUCAGACAAGUUAGGAAAUUUGACCAGCUACACAAAAUGAGAUGCUGCCCAAGAGGGGAUCUUGACUCUAAAAUCCACUGCUUGCCAUUAUAGCACAUGGAAGUCUGAAUCAGAGGACCUGGGAUGUAAUUGUGACUUUGCCACCAACCAGCUGGGUGGCCUUGGGACCGCCACUUAAUCUUUCUGAAGCUCCAAUUUCCUCAGCCUGAAGGGAGAGUUGAGCUUCUAAACGAUGGGGCUGGGUCUCCCAUUCAGGUUUCCCAGGCCGUCACUACCUGUCAUUGCUAGUCUCUGCAGCCCUCUAGUGGCGCUUUGCAGGACACAAGUGGUACCUUCCCUUUCGGUUGCCAUAGUCACAGUGGGCUGAUGCAGGCUCUCCAGAGCACCUGAGAGCUAGGUGCCCCUUUGGCCUUCGCUGAUGACCAAGUUCGCUGAUGAUAAAUGGGGCUCAGAAGAGCCAUGGAGACAGAUAUGAACAGAGUGGUUCUCAGAAGGCAUUCUUGUUUUUAAAACUCUCAGUCCUGUUUGUUCUGUGCCAUAUCUAGAACUCUCACUCACUCUUCAGUGAUAAAGACUGCAAACCUCAAACGUGGAUUCCAAUUUUAAUUUUAAAUUCAUUUGUGGAAUAUACAUGUACCUGACCUCGCUCGAAUCCUACUGACACUCACACCAUCAGGUCAUCUUAAAGGGGCUGCCUGUGGGAAUGUUGAGAGGACACUGUGAUGGGAGCCAGCACACAUGGGUCCCGGCUCUGGCUCUGCUGAGUAUGUGCCUGCCUUGUGACAUCAAUGGUCAUUGCACUUCUCUGCACGCCAAGCUCUCCAUUGAUAAAAUAAGGGGUUUGGUGGUAGAGCCCUUGCGAUCUGACAUCUUAAGCAUGUGCCUGAAGUUGCUCCUUUAGAAUGGCAGAUUUUUACCUUUCUGCCCAGUCUUUUACUUUACUUUCUUUUGCCAAUGGACACAUGCUUGUCUGAGAGCUGGGAUGGAGGGUGUUAGGUAAAGGUACUGUCUGAAGCUACGAAGCAGACUAAGGUGAACAAACAUGGCUUUAUGUGCCAUCUACAUGUCGAUGAC